rnacentral:rRNA from 1 species
UACAGAGGUCUCAAGCGUUGUUCGGAUUCAUUGGGCGUAAAGGGCGCGUAGGCGGCCAGCACAAGUCAGUUGUGAAAUCUCCGGGCUUAACUCGGAAAGGUCAACUGAUACUGUGCGGCUAGAGUGCAGAAGGGGCAACUGGAAUUCUCGGUGUAGCGGUGAAAUGCGUAGAUAUCGAGAGGAACACCUGCGGCGAAGGCGCUCUACUGGGCCGUAACUGACACUGAGAGACGACAGCUAGGGGAGCGAAUGGG